rnacentral:rRNA from 1 species
CGAAGGUGCAAGCGUUAAUCGGAAUUACUGGGCGUAAAGCGCGCGUAGGUGGUUUGUUAAGUUGGAAGUGAAAGCCCCGGGCUCAACCUGGGAACUGCUUUCAAAACUGGCAAGCUAGAGUAUGGCAGAGGGUGGUGGAAUUUCCUGUGUAGCGGUGAAAUGCGUAGAUAUAGGAAGGAACACCAGUGGCGAAGGCGACCACCUGGGCUAAUACUGACACUGAGGUGCGAAAGCGUGGGGAGCAAACAGGAUU